rnacentral:ncRNA from 1 species
CCGAUAGAGGCGCGCUUGUUAAGAGUAGCGAAGGGAGCGAAAAAGUCCUUUCCCUUUCGCAAAAGGAACCGGCGCCGAGGUUUUCGCUCCCGUUCGGACUUUGACGGGGCGGGGAUCGGUUUGCUGUGAAAUACACAGCCGACUGUCACAGUGACGAUCACGGGUUGUGGAGAGCUAUCG